rnacentral:snoRNA from 1 species
GAGUGAAAUGACGGGCAUAUGAAAUCCUCUAUUGGUUUGAGUGCCGGGAUGAUGGAAUUAUCAGUUACUAGCUCUAUCUCAUCCUUU